AUGCGUAGCCUGAGACCCCUGUACUAUCUCCUCCUCCUUAUCGGCGCAGCCAUUGCCGCCGCGGACCCCUGGUCCACCGACUGCCCGGGCGACGCAAACUACACCCGCGGCGGCGUCUUCGAGGCCAACCUCGACGCCCUCCUCUCCUUCCUCCCCGCCUCCGCGUCGGCCGCGUCCGGAUUCGCUGAAAAAGCCACCGGCGUAGCGCCCGACGAGGCGUACGGGCUAGCACAGUGCCGCGCCGACGUGAGCGCAUCCGAGUGCCGCGCGUGCCUCAACGCCUCUGUGCGGGACGUGGCCACCAAGUGCCCCGGCCAGAAAAAGUCCACGCUCUCCUACUACACCUGCCUCCUGCGCCACUCGAACGUGAGCUUCUUCGGCGUCGCCGACAUGUCGUGGCAGCCCCACUUAUGCAACCGAGACAACGCGACGCAGCCCGAGCUGUUCAAGAUGCAGCUGGGCGCGCUGAUGAACAACCUCAGCAGUAGGGCGGCGUCGUCCCCGCGACUGUUCGCGGCCGACACAGUCGACUUGACGCCCUUCACGAAGAUCUACGGCAUGUCCCAGUGCACGCGCGACCUCGCCGGCGACGACUGCAACCGCUGCCUCUCCGUAGCCGUCUCGUAUAUCCCGAAAUUUUGCGACGGGAGGGAGGGAGGACGGGUCGACACCCGGAGCUGCUCCAUCCGGUACGAGUUGUACCGUUUCUACAACGCCCAGGCCGCCGAGGCGGCGAUGUCCCCGCUGCCACCGCCGCCUCCAGCAGUAAACGGCAGCGAUCAGUCCGGCCCUACAGGACGCGCCGGAAACGACGACGCCACGGCCAAGAUAGCUCUGUUCGUCUCCAUUCCUGUUGCUGUCGUGCUGUUGGUACUGUUGACGGUUGCUUUGUACCUCUACAGUGAGGAUGGAACAGACAUGGGAACCUCAGAGUCUCUGCUGUACGAUCUGAGCACUCUAAGAGCUGCCACCGACAAUUUCUCUGAAGAAAAUAAGCUCGGGGAAGGCGGGUUUGGGCCAGUCUACAAAGGCACAAUGCAGGAUGGGCAGGAUAUCGCGGUGAAGAGGUUGUCAAAAACCUCCCAGCAAGGGCAAGUGGAGCUGAAGAACGAGGUUGUGCUUGUGGCGAAACUUAAGCACAAGAAUCUUGUCCGCUUGCUCGGCUGCUGCAUCCAGGAGGACGAGAAGCUCCUCGUUUACGAGUACCUCUGCAACAAAAGCCUCGACAAGAUUAUAUUCGAUCCUGCGAGGCGGCAGGAGCUUACGUGGGAACAGAGGUACAGGAUCAUGCAGGGGAUCGGGCGAGGUCUUCUUUACCUCCACGAAGAUUCAAGGCUGACCAUCAUUCACCGGGACCUCAAGGCGAGCAACAUCCUGCUAGACCCCGACAUGACUCCCAAGAUCUCCGACUUCGGCCUCGCCAAGCUGUUCAGCGUGGACGCCAGCUUCGGGAACACCAGCCACAUCGCCGGAACCUAUGGCUACAUGGCGCCGGAGUACGCCCUGCACGGCAUCUUCUCGGCCAAGUCGGACGUGUACAGCUACGGCGUCCUUGUACUGGAGAUCAUCGCGGGUCGCCGCAACAAUUUCAGCCAAUAUCCGGGAACUAAUGGCGAAGAUCUUCUGACCACGGUCUGGAGGCAUUGGAGCCGUGGGAGCGUGUCGGGGUUGCUCGACGGCUGCUCGGCCGACGGGCUCCAGCCGUCGGAGAUGUUGCGGUGCGUCCACGUGGGACUGCUCUGCGUCCAGGAGGACGCGCACCUCCGGCCAGGCAUGGCGGCGGUCGUCGUCAUGCUCAACAGCCGCUCGAUUACGCUCCCUGUGCCGACGCCGCCGGCCUACGUCGUUUCGGGCCGCGCGGGUGCGUUGGGGAGGAGCACGACGCCUGAGGCACAGGCUCCGGUGGGAGCUGUUCGUGGGCCAUAUGUCAACGACCCCUCUGUUUCUGACAUGGAGCCCCGGUGUAUAGACGGACGGGAAUGGGACUGGAAAAUAAGGCAUCGUCGUCCAAAUUUGAGCAGCCUGUAG
rnacentral:rRNA from 1 species